rnacentral:snRNA from 3 species
AGCUUUGCGCAGUGGCAGUAUCGUAGCCAAUGAGGUUUAUCCGAGGCGUGAUUAUUGCUCAUUGGAAAUACAUUCUUCAUUUAUUUGGAUUUCAUCUUUAAGAGCCAUUGGGUGAGCUUCUAAGUCCAGUUUAAUAUUAUGCUACAAUUGUGUA